rnacentral:rRNA from 4 species
GGUUGACCUCGGAUUAGGUAGGAAUACCCGCUGAACUUAAGCAUAUCA